ACUCAAAUGAAUUGACGGGGGCCCGCACAAGCAGCGGAGCGUGUGGUUUAAUUCGAUGCAACGCGAAGAACCUUACCUAGACUUGACAUGGCCUUGAAAGCCGCGGAAACGUGGACCUCUUCGGACAAGGUCACAGAUGUUGCAUGGCUGUCGUCAGCUCGUGUCGUGAGAUGUUGGGUUAAGUCCCGCAACGAGCGCAACCCUCGUGUGAUGUUGCAAAUCAUCGCAGACUGCCGGUACAAGCCGGAGGAAGGUGGGGAUGACGUCAAGUCCGCAUGGCUCUUACGUCUAGGGCUACACACACGCUACAAUGGACCGGACAGAGUGCAGCCACGUCGCGAGACGGAGCGAAUCACAAAACCGGUUCUCAGUUCGGAUGGCAGGCUGCAACUCGCCUGCCUGAAGUCGGAGUUGCUAGUAACCGCGUGUCAGCAUAGCGCGGUGAAUAUGUUCCCGGGCCUUGUACACACCGCCCGU
rnacentral:rRNA from 1 species